UUAGCUUACCUUGACAUUUAGAUAAUUUAAGCAAUUUAAAACAUAUUAAAACUAAGCACGAAAAUCCUUUGACAUCCUAUUACUUUUACAUGUACAUUAACAAAUAUUUGGAGAUUAGUACAUUACUUACCAUGAACUUAUAACAUAUCCAUACAGAACAUAACAGAUUGUCAUAUAGCAUAUACUAAUUCAAUCACACUUCAACCGUAACAUGUAUAAUUCCAUUCAUGCCAAUCUUUCAAUCAUUUACAACCACAUAAUGUCAUUUCCUUUUCUGUCCUUUGCUCGAAGGCUACAGUAAAUUAAACUCAAUUGCACGGAAUUGAUUUACUUACAUAUAUAGAUGUAUUUGGCCUGCUAACACUAAUUUCGGAUCAAGAUUGCUAACACUAGCUUGGUUUGAUGUUGCUAACACUAGCUUUAGAGAAUCUGGAACAUAUGUUGGAUCUCAAGCCAUCAAGUUAAUUCCUGAUCACAACACCCAUUUAUUCAUACAGACUGAUAUACUUGAGCCGCUAACUUUAGCUUCAGAUCAAGGUUGCUAACACUAGCUUGGUUCGAUGUUGCUAACACUAGCUUUAAAGAAUUCACAACAUAUGUUGGAUCUGAAGCCAUCAAAUUAAUUCCUAAUUACAGCACCCAUUUAUUCAUACAGACUGAUAUACUUGGGCUACUAACACUAGCUUCAUAUCAAUGUUGCUAACACUAGCUUUAAAGAAUCCGCAACAUAUGCAAGAUCUCAAGCCAUCGAAUGACCCCUGAUCAUAAUUAAAUGUGCUCAUGGGUCGGGUCAGGCCUAAGCAUAAUAUUAACAUACUUUAUGCUUACCUAAUAAGUGUGGCCCGACUCGAAACAUGGGCCUAAAAUUUUGUCCAAAUCCAUCCAUAUUUACAAAAGACUAACCCAAGCCCAUUUUAUGCCCAUCCAUAUUAUUUUUUAAAUAUUUAAAAAAUUAUUUAUAUUAUAUUAUUUUAAUAUUUAAUAAAAUUUUAUAUAUUUUUAUUUAUUGAAAGUUUUUAUAUAGUCAUCUUAACAUUAUUUUAAUGUUUAUAUUAAAGUAGUAUUAUAUAUUUUGUAUAAGUUUAUUUUUUUAAUGUGUUCUAAAUUACAUUAUAUAUAAGAAUAACAUAAUAUAAAGUAUUAUAAACUUAAAAAUGGGUUGGGUGGGGCCAAGCUCGGGCCUUAAAUCUUCAAGCUCGAGUCCAUCUCAUAUUUUAAACGGGCCUAAUUUUUUUGCCCAAGUCAAUUUUUUAGGCCUAAUUUUUUUGCCCAAAUCUUCUAAAAUUUCAGGUGGACCUUCGAGUUUGGACGGGUAACCUAACCCAUGAACAGGUCUAAUCAUAAUGCACAUUUUCAUUUUUGGGAAUUUAAUAGCAUGCCAUUUGCAUCUCAAUAGUUUACUAAAUUCACACGGCUUGUUAUCGAAUUUCUAUCAUUUCUAUUUUUGUAACUGUAUACAUUUUUCAUAUUUCAAAUAACAAUCCAUAUACCUUUUAAACAUUAUAGCAUCAUCCUGUACAUAUAAUUCGUUCAUAUAAUAAUUUCACAUCUAGUCUAUUUUGCAUAUCUAUACGUAUUUAGCAUAUAUUUCAUAUAUUUCAAUUUAGUCUUUUAGCUGCCGAAAACAUUAUACUCAACAAUCCAAACUAAAAGAAGAAAAUAAAAUACAAACAUAUACAUAUCAUAAAUUAAUAAAGUAAAUUUCAUAUGAACUUAUCAGACAAAAUCUACAAUGAGCGAAAAGCCCAAGACUAAUCUGCAUUUUCCCUUUUUCACGAUUUCCUAUCGAUUGAUCCGAAUCUCGAUCUAUACGGUAAUUCAUUUCAAUUUAUCAAUUCUAAAUACCCUAUAACAUCUUAUUUCAUGUAUAUGACCUCUUACUUUCAGUUUUCACAAUUACCCUAAAAUUUUGCAUUGUAUUCAAUUUAGAUCUUAAAACCGAAACUAUCAUAUCUUUCACAUUUAAACUCAAAUUUUCAAUCCUUUUUCAAUUUCAUCCUUGAAUAAUCCUAAAGAAACAAUAUUUACAAAAAAUAUAACAAAUUUGACGUAAUUUCAUUUUAGUCCAUAUAAUCAAAACUAUAAAUUUUCUUUUACAAACUAGUACCUUUCAUUUCCAAACUUAUAAACUAAGAUAUUAACACCAAAAAUUUCAAAAUCAUUAAUGAAAACUUUUACAAACUUUAACGCUUUUAAAAACAGAGAUAUGUUUUAGCUAAAUCGAGUUAUAAUGAUCUAAAAAAAUACAAUUUACGAAAAAUGGACAUUUAAUACCCUAAAUGCAAUGGACGAUUCUUGAAGGAAUUUUGAAUCUUUUUCUCCCCUCUUCAAUGGUUUAUAUUCUGUGGAGGAAGAUGAGAAUGAAAAUUCUCUUUCCAUCUAAGUUUUAUUUUACAAUUCAUUAAUUUUAAUUAAAAGAAAAUUAAUAAAACCAAACCAAAUUCAUGCACUAACCGUCCAAGCGAACUUAUUAUGGUCCAAUUACUAUUUAAAUCCAUUCAAUAAUACCAUUUGACCCAUUUAGCUAUUAAGAUUUAAUAGUGAUUAAUUUUUUUACUAUUUUUACAAUUUAGUCCUUAUACCUUAAUUAACCAUCCAAUCACUAAAAUUUUCGGAUCAAAAUUCAAUUCAUCUAUAUAACAUCUCCGUAAAUAUUUAAAUAUUUACGAGCUCAGUUUACUAAAACGAGAUCCUGAUACCUUAUUUUCCAAAAUCACUGACUUUAAGGUCGAACCACUUGUACUUUAACUAAUGUCUAAUUAACAAAUUUAUCAGAUCAAAAUUCAAUAUAACUUUACGAUAGACUUGUAUAUAUUAUUAAAUAAUAUUUACUCACUAGAUCAUUAAAAUAUAAAAUUCUAAAAUUUUACCCAUAUUACUUUGGCAGGUUAUUUCCACGUUAACAUACAAGGUUAAGUGGUUUUAAAUGGGGACAAAUCUUAGAAUUAUACGUGAACUUUGAUUUAAUGUGUAAUUUAGUAUAUUAACUUUAGUUUUGUGUAAUUAUACACAUGAAACUUUGAUUGUGAAUCAACUAUACACAUUUAAAGAAAUAAAUACAACACUUUCUUUUUAUAUUAUAUAAAUAUAAUUAUUUGUAUAUGCAAUAUGUAAAUGUAAAAUAGUGCUAUAUGAAUAAUUAUUUUAAUAAUUCCAUAAAAAUUAAAUCAAAUCAAAUCAAAAUCUCAUUUAUAAAAUUAUAUAAAAUUAUAAUUAAUGUAUAAUAUUACACAUUUAACUAAAAAUUAUAUAUAAUUUUGAGAUUUAUCUUUUUAGAAAUAUUAAUAUUUCAAUUAAAGUCAAGAGUUUUCAUUAAUAAAAAAAAGGGUCUUAUAUGUGAGGGCUUAUUUAAGGGUUUUUUUUAGUAUAUUAGCCUACAAUAAUAUAAAGGUCAAAUUUUGGUAUUUGUCCUUUUACAAGGUUCAAAUUUAUAUUUAAUUUUUACACUUUGAUAGUAUAUUUUUAUAAUAUUAUUAGUUAAUUCAAAUAAUUACAUUAGUAAUUAUUUUGAUUAAAAUGGAGAUGUUAGCUUUUUAGGUUAAAGUUUACUACAAGUACUGUACCAUAUUAUAAAUUUCAUUUGAAUACCCUACUAUUAAAAGGAAUAUUUUAGUUCUUAUAUAUUUGAAAAGCUAACAUUCUAGCCAAAAUGACAUGUUUAAUGAUGAUCGACUGUGAUAUUAAAUUAAAUAUUAAAGUUAAACAAUAAUUUUAAAAAUGAGAAGCGAUAAGAAACUGAAUUUGCUUUUACCCAAAAUUGUUUUCAAUUUUUUUUCAUAAUUAUUGGUUUAAAUUAAUUUUAGUUUAGUUCACAUUACUCACCAUUAAACCACAUCAUUCUAUCUAUUUUUUAGAUCAAUAAAUUUUUUUAAAUUUUAUUGAAAAAUUAACUUAAUGCCAAGUUAACCCUUGUUAAGCCAUGUUAUUCCAUUAACAAUAAAAUUAGCAUGUAAGAAUUAAAAUGUUAACUUUUCAAAUGUACAUAAGUUAAAAUAUUAUUUUGAAUAAUAGAGGGAUUAAAACAAAUUUUUGAUAUGAUAGAAGACUUGUAGUAAACUUUAUGCUGAUUUUUUUCCUUUUAACUAAAUCAAUUAAUUGUAUUAAUUAUUUGAAUUAAUUAAUCAAUGAGAUUGUAAAAAUAAAAGGAUUACAUUAGAAGAGGUAUCAAAAUUAGAAUUUGAUCCAAAAUAAAAGAGCCAAGUCGGGUAACCAAACCGGCCGUAUAGGGUGUUUGGUUCAUGGUACAAGUCACGACAUGACAUGCGGCAUAAAUGGCGAGGGCGUGAGAGCGAGCCCAAAUCAGGACAGAAAAACUCCAAACAUUUAAUGCGGCAAUUCCUUUGUUGCCUAACUGUUCUCAUUUUCUGUUAUUUCGUCGCUCCCGCUCCUGCGCGCCUAAUGUUUCAUCCAAAAUUACCACAACAAUUCCAAUACUCUUUGUUCACAAUCUCCACCUCCGCUUCGCUCCUCCUCUUCUCUCGCCCAUGAAGCAACGUAGUUCGACGAAAAUCUCCCUUAAAUGGAUCCCAUUUCUCUGCAUCUCCUUCUUCAUCCUCGGAACUGUCUUCUCUAACAGGUCUCCCUUUCUGUUUGUUCUUUCUUUUAUUAAUUUAUGAAAUGGUGUCAAUGCCUUUCCUUUUGCUUUUUCUUUUCUCUAACAGGUCUCCCUUUCUUUGAUUGUUGGGGUGGAGUUAUUUAUUUAUUUAUUUAUAUUAUUGGAUUUUGGUUACAGGCUAUGGAUUCCAACUAUAUUCAACGAUUGUGACACUAAGAAAGUAUGUUCCUAUUAUGUUCACAAUGACAGUUUUUUUAACUUUAGUUUUUGGUUUUCUUCAACUUUUUCUUUUAAAAACAAAGCUUUAUUGUGUUUUGCAGAAGCCUGCAACAGAUAAUGAUGAGAAGGGUGAAGUUUUGAAAACCCACGAAGCAAUUGAGUGAGUGCGAAACUGGGUUCUUAUUCUUUUAGCUAAAGUUCAUGUUUUUGCUUUGGGAAGUCUUCACUUUUCACUAUUAAUUUCUUUGCAAUUUUUUAUUUUUGAUGAGGGCCUAACUAGAUCUCUAGACAAGUCAUUUGCAAUGCUCCAGAUUAAGUUAGCUCCCCCAGGUAGUUCUCAGAAAAUGAAGAACUCGGAUGCCACCGGUGCUGUCUCGACCUUGGCUGGUAUCGACUCGCCGAGGAAGAAAGCAUUCAUGGUCAUUGGGAUUAACACUGCUUUUAGUAGUAGGAGACGGCGUGAUUCCAUCAGAGAAACUUGGAUGCCACAAGGUCUUUUAUAGAGCAUUUGAUUCGUUUCUUCUUUGUAUUUCAUUAUCCGAAAUGAAUUCUUAUGUUUAUGUUUGAGCAGGGGAAAAGCUUGUUCGGUUGGAGCGUGAAAAGGGGAUUAUUAUCCGUUUCAUAAUCGGCCAUAGGUAAAAUCAUUUUUCAGUUCCUUUUUCAAGUGCAUGCAUAUGGAGAUCAAAUCUUGAGCGUGAAUGGUAAUGUUUAAAGUGUGAUGAAAAUGGGAGAAAUGUACUUGCUUCAGUAUGAAAUUCAAACUGACGUACGUUUAUAUCUGCAUUUAUUAACUCCAGUGCAACAUCCGACAGCAUUUUAGAUAGAGCCAUUGAUUCAGAGGAUGCUCAACAUAAGGACUUCCUUAGACUGGUUAGACAAGUCUUCCCGUGAUAAUGUCGAAAACUCUUACUGACAUAUUAUCCCCAUUUCAUACCUUUAAACUGUUACCAACCUUCUAAUACAGGAGCAUGUUGAAGGAUAUCAUGAAUUAUCUGCAAAAACAAAAACUUAUAUUUGUACUGCAGUUGCAAAUUGGGAUGCCGAGUUCUACGUCAAGGUGGACGAUGAUGUCCAUGUUAAUCUUGGUGGGUUUGCCAUCUCUAAUGUUAGAAACAUAUAGAACUUAACAAAAGCUUUUGAUUGUUUCAUUAGUGAAUUUGUUUAUGCAUAUUUUUUUCUGAUAGGUAAGCUAGCUGCACUUCUUGGCCGUUACCGUUCCAAGCCCAUGGCCUAUAUAGGGUGCAUGAAAUCCGGACCGGUUCUUUCUAAAAAGUAAUUAGUUCUGGUAUUUUUUUUUUCAAUGAUAAUACUACUCUCCAAUUUGCUUUGUUUUGUCCUGCAAAGUUUGUUAUAUACCUUUUCUUGAAUUCCUCUAUGUCCUUAAGGUCUGUCAAGUACCAUGAACCGGAGUACUGGAAAUUCGGAGAAGAGGGGAACAAGUACUUUCGACAUGCAACUGGUCAGAUAUAUGCAAUUUCAAAGGAUCUCGCAAACUACGUUGCCGCAAACCAGUGAGAUCAUCUAUUUUUAUAUGAAAGUCACUUUUUUUUUUUUUUUGGCUUUGCCUAAUUGAGGAUCUUGGUUUCAUCUUUAGAGCCCUUGUAUGUGUGUGCAUUUGGCAGUGUCACCUUCAUCCCCUUCCUUCCCCUUGGUUUUCUUUUUGUUUUUUACCAGUUAGAUCAUGUAGCAGUUUCUUUUUACUUAAAGCAUGUCAUCAAAACAUUGAAGAUCGGUUAUUACCCUGCAUAAAUUCUGUUAUAUUUUAUAUCGUAGAGCUAAAUGGCAGUCUCAGACUGUUGAAUUUGCAUUUUGUUUUGAUGUAGUGACUUUGCACCUUUGAUCCUCGGCACUGAUAAUAUUCUGCCUUAAAAAGACAGGCAUGGUUAAUAACAUUCAGGGUGAUUCUGACUGAAUUGCAGGCAUAUAUUGCACAAGUAUGCUAAUGAAGAUGUGUCCCUCGGUUCAUGGUUUAUCGGCCUCGAGGUUCAGCACUUGAAUAUUAAGAGCAUGUGCUGUGGUACUCCACCAGGUAAAGUUCUUCAAGAACACAAGUAGUUUAAUCAAAGGAAGGUCGAAACAAGGAUGGAUUCAUGUGAAACGCACGCAAACCAUAACCAUAGGCAUUCUAAAUUAGAAUGAGGUGGGUAAAUUAGUGUUUGCUUAAUGGAGAUUCUGUUUUGGAAAUGCAUGGUGCAGAUUGUGAGCUGAAGGCAAAAGCAGGCAAUGCGUGUGCCGCAUCAUUUGAUUGGAGUUGCAGUGGAAUCUGCAGAUCAGUGGAGAAGAUCAAAAUCGUUCAUCAAAGGUGCGGGGAAGGGGAUGCUGUAGUUUGGAGUGCCUUAUUUUAAACCGAUAUAAGGUUUUCUUUUGGGGGAGGAAGGGGGGGGGGGUUUCGUGGUUGAUCAAUGGUGGAGGAAACUUCUGCUUUCAAUGCAUAUCCUCGACCGUUUACUUUCAGAAAUGGAAAACAAAAAAAAGGCGGCGUUGAGUUGUUAGAUAGUAUGUAUUUAUACACACAAAAUUUUGUUUUUUUUUUCUCAUAGAAAUUAUAUUCAUUCAAGAAUGAGCGGAAUUUUAAUUGGUUCUCAAAAGUAUAAUACUCAACUCAAAUUACAAGCUAUAUUCAGUCUAAGCCCAGAAAAUUGUCAAAUAAUCUGUUGGUUAUAAGCCGAAAUGGAUAAUCCCGACGUUUUCUUAAGAUUGCAAGAUUUUCUAGAGCGUAAUGCGCCAGCCUUCCUCUACUGAUUUCGUUAAAUCCAUCAAAAGUUCCCUCUGUCUUCAAUUAUUUACUUUUUUCUUUUCAUUAUAGUUCUCAUGUUUAAGUGUAUAUAAGAGCUUAAGAUAGAACGUGAUUUGUACUUAACCAGAAUUGAUUAAUGAUUGUUUAUUUGGUAAUAAUCAACAAUUUCUUUUUGGUAAUGAGGCUGCUAAAAUUCAAAAUUUUGGAGGAACUAGAUUUUAAUUGUUUAUUGCUUCGAAUUCAAGUAAAAUUCUCGACACGCAAGCUCUUCUGUUUGUAAAUCCGUUGCCAAACAGAACUUAAUUUCACUAUGAGAAGGAUCGGGAUGUUUAAUUCUAGAAAAUCAUUUCUGGGUUUUUAACCGUCGCUAUAUUGCAUCUUCGUAGUUUUGUUCUCCAACAAUGCUCCUCAUCCCGCGCAGGAGUUCUUCACCAACAUGGAAGCUGCUGUUCGAGCUCAUCCGCUUUGGGGCGGAUGCUCAGAGGAGGACCUCCACAGUGCUGGUGAAGUAAGCCAUCGAUACUUGCAUAUAUCAUGGGAUUUGGGUCUAAAUUACUUGCUUUUAUUAUUUUUAAGCAAUUUGGAUACUAAGCCGACCUUUCAAAAUGAGACAUCAUGGCUGGUAAGUGGUCGGAUUUGUGUUUCUGGUGAUUUCCUUUUUGCUAUAUGCAGUAAAAUUAAAGACAUUGCUGCAUCAAUCUUUUCGCAUAAGGCCACUGAUCUGUUUUAUGCUCUAUUGAACAUACUCUGAUUUAGAUUUUAGAUAUUUUACAGAAACAAUAGCAUGACCAUUGAUGCAUAUAUGUAGCCAUUUUGUUUCAUGCUAUAUAAUAUAUUCCCUUUUGGCGGGCUUGAUGCCUUAUUAAUUUUCAGUUCUAUAAGCUCUAUAUCUGAUGAAGGAUAGUCUUAAUGACAGUAAACCUAUUUGAUCAUGUAGCUUACUUUGAGACAGUACGCAGCUCCGGCAGGUUGUUAUGGCUAAUAUUUUGUUGUACUGAGAAGUUAUUGAACCCAGACAAAGAGAACUUUGCGAUCUGAACCAAAUCUUCUGAAAUAAAACCUUUAAGUAGAGAAGAUCUGUCAUCAAUUACUAAAGUUCCAUCAAUCUCAAAGCUGGAGAAUCAAGGGGCAACCAUGCUUCUGCAGGAGGAUCAGACAAGGAAAGUGUUUCGAGAGUGCCCAUAUAUGUUUGUUCAUUUUAGUGACCUGAAAAUCAAUGAUGUUGAGGACCUGAAUAACUAUAAACAACUUGUCUUCAAGUAUGUUUGCUUUUGAAAGGACUGGGUAGCGUUUCUGCAACUAUUCCUUCUUCCAGUUCACCAGCUCUAGCUCCAGAACAUGUUGGAACAGUGAAGGAAUCUGAAGAUAAUAGAGUGAUGGAACUAAAUAUUGGACUGCAAAAAGAUACUGACAGGGUGGAUGAUAUCCCAAGUUCAGUCUCUAAACAAGAAAAUACAGUAUCCAAUUUCCCAAGGAUGAGGCAGUUGCACCCCCAGGAGACAACCAUGAUGACACCUCUGAACAAUAGCUGACUGGGUUGAUGUUAAUUUUUUUGGAAUAUCAUGGCCUUUUAUUGUUCUGGUAACCUUGCCACUAGGACUUUUUUCUUCCCUCUUUUAUGCAGCAAAUGACUACUGCUGCAGCUGCAAAUGAAAAGACAAUGUAAGACCAAGUUCUUAAUUUGAACUUUGAAAUGAUUUGGUUUGGAAAUUCAUAAUGCCCUGUAGAUGCAAGUUUUGCUGUAACACUGUGGGUUCAACUCGGCAAAGCCCUUAUUUCAGCACAUAUAGGUACAAUUCUUUGCUUCAUCCUCGUACACAGUAUCGUGGUUCGUUACGAAUGGUAGGAAAGCUGUAAACUUGGAACUUCUGUUUUGAAGUAAGAUGUGGCAACCUUUUGGAUCAUAAACCAACAUUGACAUGCCAGGUUAAACAUGUAGAUACCUUGAUCAUUAUUGAAUUAUUGGAUUGAUUUAUUUAUUUUCAAACGUUUUUGUUUGGAUUGAGUAGCUUUCUUGUUCCUUCAUACGCAUCAUCAUCCCAUCCCCAAGAUUGAGAGAUGGUGCAUUAUGUCAUGCCAUAGAUAUUUUGUCCAAAUAAAAUAUCGUAUUGUGCCUGAUAUUUCUUCUUUUUUUCCUUGGGGAAGUGAAUAUCCGAUCAAGAGGCCACAACUUGGAAUUUGCUUGAUAUUUCUUUUUAGAUCUUAGGCUAAAUGCACCCGGAAUUUGAUUCAAUAAUAGAUGCAUAGAUCUUCUCUGAAAGGCAUGCUCCAAUCACUUGAUGGAGAAUACGAAGGCAACUGAUUUUCCCAGUAAGUGAGUGAUACAACCAAAUAGAUAUGACAAAACAAGUAAUAGUUUAUUUAAAAUUUAGACAAAAAUUUUCUCGGUAUUUUGACAGUAUUUUAUUUAUAAUUGUAUACAGGUUGGAGGGUAAGGAGAGAGAAGAGGCAACAGUGACAGAUAAGCAUGUCUUUGAUUUUCUAGGCAAUCUCUGGCAAUGCAAUAUUGAUGACACUGAUCAGGUACUAACAUAAAAAUUAAAACAGUUGCUUAUAUUUAAUCCUUUCUCCAUCCUACUCUUUAAAUUAGACUUCUCCAUGUGCUUGGACCGGCCAACGACUCAAUUUAUUAUUUAAAACAUAACAUUAUUUUGUAUUAAUUUUAUAUGUUUUAUACUUAUAUUUAAUGCUUUGACAUGACUUGGAUUGAAGAAAUCAAAUCAAUUUGAUUAUAUGAAUAAUCCGAUUUUUGGACAGAUCCCGUUGUUUACAUAAAAAGCAUAUUUUAUACUUAUAGUACCCCUUGAAAAAGCCUUCAUCUUCCUCCUUUACUCCUAAUCUCUUUCUUUCCUUUAUUCCUUUGUUUUCUUUUCAGAUUUGUUAAAAGAAAAGCAAAGGAGGGGCCAACGCAGCAUGGGAAAUAGAUAUAAUUGCCAUCAGAAUCUACGUUUGAAUCAUACAAAGAGAAGCAUCUUUUUGCCGAUGUUGUGUUCGAAGGUAUCCAUUAAUAAAGAUGUGAUGAAGCUUCCCAAAUGGAAAGACAAGUUACCGGAUGACGACCCUUUGUCUCCAAAGAUCGGUUGCAUGGGACAAGUGAAGAGGAACAACAGGAUUGUUGGCUUCCCUGCACUCGAUAUCACCACCAAGAUCAACAACAGCUGCAAUGCUAAUAAUAAUACCAAUGAUAAUGGCAUCAAGUAUUUCAAGCUCAAGAAGUUGUUUUCCGGCAAAAGAAAACAAGGGUUUGUAGAACAUGGUGGGAAAGAGAACAGUGGUUCGCGUUCAAUCAACAUCGAAAACAUGGAUCCCCCUUUGCCUGUGAUCAAGAGAGUGCCGAAACAAGGUGAUAAAGGAGAAGGAGACACUCUUUGGCAGAGGAGAUCUCGUGGGGUUUCAUUGGAAAGCUUACAGCUUCAACAGAUUCAACUUAACAGUCGUCGAGAACCGACCACUGUUUAAUAACUAGGGGGAACACUACAAGGUUAGAUACGUGUAUAUGAUUUGUUCUUAAAAUUUCCAUGUUUUUUUUAUGAUUGUGGUGUUGAAGAGAGGCAUCGAAUUAUGGUGAUGCUAGUUAAGAGAUGUAUAUGAAUUAUUCAUCAAAGAUUUAGGAAUUUUUAUCUCUCAAAAUUAUUGAUGGAAACACCAUCAUUAUAUUUUCUUGAUGAUUGUUAUGUCAAUGUGGAAAUCAAGUGAGUAUGCAUUGUGGUGUUAGAUCAAGUGUCUAUUUCAAAUAAAUUUCACAUCUGUGAUAAGCUCCAGUUGAACUUUAAACUAAAUAAAGGGUUUAAAACUUAUGACAAACGUAAUUUUUUCUUGUAUUAUAUUAUAUAUCUACUAACCAGAUCAUGUCAUAAGAUAAAAAAGGAUGGGAUAAAAAAUUUAAUUUUGCCUUUCACGACAAGCUUUCUUUAAGCCCAAUUUUUUUUUUGUCUGCAAUAUUUGAACUCAAUAUUUUAUUCUUGUUUUUUGAUGAAUGAAUUAAUUUACACCAGUCUUAUAACUAGACAAACAAUAAUAAACAUUGACCAAAUGCCAAAAGAUAUGAAUAAAUUUAUGGUCGGCAGCACAGCAAACAGGAUCCACUUUAAAGUUUAAAUAAGUCAAAUAAUUUCAGCAUUCAACUCCUACGAGUGCAAGGAGUGUUUAGUCUUCAAUUCAGAAUCUAGGUAGUCUGAUAGGUUUAGGAUGCCUAACUUCGAUAAUUGAUGGUGGAUAUUGAAGUUUGCUUAAACCCUAAAUGAUUUUUUUUUCUAGACAAAUAAUGUUGCCUUUUGUAUAAGAUUUGAUAAUUCACCAAAAACAUAUACUGCUUUCUUUCACAUCCAUUGUCAAAUUAAGGGGCAGACAAACAUAAAAAAUUAAGGGACAAGACAUGAACGAUUUAUAUAAUUUGAAGACUUGAGUUUCGAAUGUCAAACCAAAUCUAAAGGGUGGGUACAAGAAAGUGAAAGUCUCGCAGUGAAUAUUUCAAUCAAUGCCAUUUCUUCAAUAAGUUUAAUACCUGAUUUUUAAAAUGGUAAACUUUGCUUCUUUUUUAACGUCUAAACCACACAAUUCGAGAUUUCAUUCAGUUUCAGCAUAGUAUUUGCCUGUAGCUAGAAGCGGUCAUAAAGACUAAUUCUUGUUAUUUUAUUAUCUACAAAAUAAUAUCUAUCCGCGGGAUAUGAAACAUACUUAAACAUGGAAACAUGAUAGAUAUCCUCUCUAUAAAACCUAAAUAAGCGUAUGAUGUCGCACAAGAGUGUCAUUACGUUGUAUCUCAUGGUUAAAUAAGGGAAUUUACAGGUUAGCUUGUGAAAUGAUGAUAGGAGAAUCUAAUUCAAUCUUUUUAAGUUUCUUAUUCUCUCCUAUUUUUUAUACAAACACAAGUUACAAUUUCCUAGUAAAACAGCUACUAACUAAACAAACUGGUUAGUGUUAAACCUCUUCUUUAUACAAGAAGCUAUGUAGCAUUAACUCUGUUCUUUAUAUGGUGUCCAGAUUAACUUGCUAACAUCAACCUCAAGCCCACCACGCCCAGCGGCUUUUAGAUGACGAUCCAACACCUUGGGAUCCGCACAUAUAACAUGCUGCCCCUUCCUGUAUUGAAUCAGUUCUAGACUCUGCAGAGUGGUCAAUAUAUCCUCCGCCUUUAUAGCUGUCAUGUCACUGAGCUCCUGGACAGAAUAGGUUCACGUACCAAACAGUAAUAACAAUUCAGUGACCAUUGACCCAAAUUUCUCAGAGAAUGGUAAAUACAGCUAUUCAGCAAUACCUACUUAACUAAAAAACAAUAAUAAUAAUUUAUCACACAAGCUACAUAAAAUCUAUCAAUUCAGGAAUGUUUUUAACAUGUUUUCAUUUUUUCAAAAUGGGAAGAUGAACUGAACCUCAAGUGUUAUUUUACUAUUCUGGGAUGCUCAUUUAUAUUUCCUAGGCGAGGAUACUCUUGCUCACCAUUCUAAAAUAAAAGCCACCAUGACUACUAGCAAGCUACUCAAGCUUGACUGCAAAGAUACCCAGAUUAGAUCUGUUGCCCACAGGACAAACUGAAGAGGUUCAAGUAAUCUCAGAAAAUUUUAAUUUUCAACUCCAAUAUCCUAAGAACCCAUUCAAAGCUUUUCUUUGUAUUUGUUAUUUAAUAGGUAAUUAAGUCUGUCUAAUCAAAUUUGAAUAUAACUUUAUGAUAGAUGGGUCCAGUUUAGUAGAACUUGAGCGUUGUCACAAUGUAGGCUUGACUCCAGUAAAUUACCCUCAAAUGCAGGCACAAAUUCUCAUGGAAAGGUUACCUUACCAACUGCUAACCAAGUUUCUAAAGUCCAAUAUCGGGUUUACCAGGUCACACAAGCAGAUGCAAUUGCAUAAAUCACACCCCCCCUAGGACUUAAGAUAUUCAGGUAAUGAUACCUUGAUGGAAAUAUUUCCUUUAUGCUUUUUCAGGAUGUCUAAAAGAACCCUUGUCCAGUACCCUCUGUAGCUCAACAGCCCUAGGUCGGAAAGUGGUCUUUCAGGUGUGCCAACUUUACCUUCUUUCUUUGAGAGUUCAUAUGCUGGUCCAUAACGAUGACAAAAUAAGCAAUAAAGCUCAAUUAAUAAAUAACAACUAGGAUGAAAUGCAAAAGACAAUAUAAAGAGAGGCAUUUAUAUUCAAUAUCUAGAAGGCUCUAGCAUCUAGCUAUUUAUUUUAAGACAUAAGAAGGGAAGUCUUUUUUUCUGAACCAUUGAUAAAGUAAGGCAAAAAAAUUAUAAAAUAAAGUAGCAGGCACAGAGCUUACAAAAGGCAAUUAAAAACUUCCCAUAGCCUUUCCUUUGAUAUGGAGGAAGGGUGAGGAUACAUGCCAAAUUAUAGGAUUCCUCUGAAUGCUUUUCCUGCAUGAUCAGAUGCAAAAUGCUAAGAUAUUUGUUGUGACGGAUAAGACAGUCUAAAAGACUAAGACACGGUGCAGAUAACAAUGAAAUAAUAAUAAGGAUUGGCAACAUUCUAAGCAUUCCAGGUGUAACGACUACAAAAAUUUUUACCGAACAUGCUAUGGGGUUGAAUAAGAAACUUAAAGUCCCAAAAUACACAAGAGAAUAAAUUUUACUACUUGAAAACUUCUAAUAUGAUGACAAUAAGGUCAAGAAAUGUUGUAUGCACUCCAUGCCACCAGAGUUGGAACAUUGCAACUACAAAAUAUUAGAACAGCCUUAGACAUAAAAAGAUCUGUUGUAACCUCCACACAGUGUCAAAUUAUAAGCAACAAAAAUGCAGUAGAAAUUAAUUACCUUGGAAAAGUAUCCAACCAUGUGGCAACCACGAUCAUCACAUUCACACAAAACAUAGAAUAGAAACAGGUCAACAUCGUAAUAAAGGGUCUUGUGGUCAAGGAACAACUUCGCCAAAUAACAAAGAUUCUGCCCAUAAACUUUGUUCUUUUUGCCAUCAACCUGUCUCAAAAUAUUUGAACAUAGGAAGAUGAAUGUCAACAAAGGCUAAAGAUCUGCAGCAUUCUACAACAUGACAUUUUGUAGCAGGAGCUAGAAAAAAAGAAAAAUGGUGAAAAUUAUUUCUACACUAGUAAGCCAAAGUUGAAAAUUAAUUGUCUCAACACAACAUUUUUCAAAGUAUCAUUUAAAAAGAUCUCAAGAUUAUUGGAUUUUACAUACAAAGAAAGAUGUGUGAAAAUUGAAUUUACAAAAGCAAAAACAAUAGGGUAGGGUCGAAGAAAGCCACAACAAUAUAGAUUUUACUUAACUAGAUCAAGGAAAGGCUAUUUCCUUUUUUUCUUUUUGUGAACUUUGGCACAGAAAGUAGUAGCAGUAAAAGCUAUUCAAGAAUAUACCUCAAACAUUGACAGGGUACCACUUCGAUAUAUUUCGUCCCCAGGGGGAUGCUUCAAAUCACACUUCCUCUACAGAGUAGCAUGAAAACAGAAAGUUAGAAUUGAUUCUGCUCCAUUUGUAACUUGAGGCAAUCGGAUUAAGAGGCAAAACUCAAAGACAAUUUUUCACUACAAAAAUCCAAAAGCAAUUUUUUAAGGCAGCAAUAUCCUACAUCUGUACCACAUUCCAUCCUAUCCCUGGCAUGAUAAAGAAAGUACAUAACAAAAUAAAUGAAGGCAUAAGAUAGGAAAUUACACUAGGGAAUGCAAUUUAAGAUGAGUUAACAUCAAGGGAAAAUAUUACUGCUGCAAUACCUUGAUCUUAAAACACAAUGGCCAUAAAACCAUUGAUAAUCAAUCAUGCAUAAUAACAGAUACUUCCAGCUUGGCAAGCAAAUUACAUAUCUCAUAAUUGUUUUAUCUUAAUCAAUUAGGUCAAGAAUGAAGGGAAAAAAAUGAUAAGAGGAAAACCUAAACCUCAACUUACAGGUCUACAUCUACAUAAUCUGCAUAGUACUAGAUGAUGAAUAGAAAGAUAACUCUUAACAAACCAAGGUUACACAAAGGAAAAAAAAAAUGUCAAGUGUCACUUAACAAACCAAAGGUCACUUAAGUUACUUUCAACCAAAGCAUGCAGAAGGAAAACAUGUGGCAAGCAAAACUUAUAUUCAUGACAAAUGAAGCAAACUUGCAUUACAAUGUUCAAGGUUGCUAUGGUUCACACAAGGUUCUUACAAUGCUAGAAAAAAAAAAACUAGUACAUAGAGAACAUUUAAAAUACUAUAAAGUAAUGCAACCCCAAGCAUUGCAGAGGGGAAAAGACUAUUGCUACACUGAGGCAAAGCUCACCAUAUGCCUUUGAAGUUGCUCUUUCCUUUUCAUGAAGUUGAGGCAAAACUCACAAAAGUACAACUUCAACGAAUCAUUAUAUUCUGGUGGAAAGGGGGAGAAGUACCAUGUCUCAAUUUCAUAUCUUCCAAGUUCUAUAGUCGCAAUAUUUUUCACCUUCGUGAAUUCCUCAUGUUCACGCAAGCUGGCAGCAUCCAGCUCCUCAUGACCCUGAAGAAAAUAAAAUGAUAGACGAUUACAAAUAAUAUAAUUUCACAAAAGCAACAUGCAGAAAUUUCAAAUGAUCCUCUGAUAUUUACACAUCACCGAGCAAAAGGUCUACGUUUACUUACAACCUCAACGUGUGUCUCAUCAAUCUUACGUUUCUGGUGGCGUGUCAUUUUUAAGCUUGCUACCUGAGAACCCCAUGAGCAAAUUUGUUCAAAUCAGAACACCCUCAAAUGAUAAACAAAGAGUAAACAUAAGUGCAAGGUUCUACAUUGUAAAAGAAUGUUUACCUUAUCUUCGACCUUUUCAUCAACAACCGUUUCGACAGAAUCAAGAUCAAGUUGUUCAAGCUUCACCCAUUCAUCAAGCCUCCUAUUAACUAUCAUUUCAAUAUCAUUAUUAUAAAAAAAUAUACAUCAAUUUCCAAAAUUUUCUAACAUAAUAAUUCUAAAAUUAUCAAUUGAAUCACAAAAAAAGAACCUGAAAUAAUUAAAUUAAAGUAAAAAACCCUAGGAAGAACACAAAUCUUACACUCGGUGUAAUGAACGUAAUAUUCAUAAUCACUGGGCUCAGCGGACUGCAGCUUUCGGCGUUCGAUGACUUUGACAGGAUGAUACUUGCCGUCUCUCCAGCGGCACAUGACGCGAGUACCCACCUCUAGGGGGAGUAUACCCGACCUCCUCUUUUUCGUAGCCUCAGACUCCUGCGCUCCGUUUGAGGAGGCCAAAGGCCUCUGGUUGUCGUCGGCCGGAGCAGCGGCGGCGUAGGAUUGUGUUGAACCAUUCUCCGUAAUCGUCGGCGUGUCUAUGGAACCCAUGGGGUGGUGUCGGUCUAAGAGGGUUUCAGACUUCGAGUGGGCUCAACAAUACAAAAGAGGGGGUAGAAGAAAAUAUUUUUGGGGCUUCAGCCCAUCGAGUUCCUUCUCGGGUAAAUUAAUAUCUUCGUCUUUGGGUCCUACAAACUUUAGUCACAUCCACAAAAAUAUUUUAUAAAGUAUUUAAUAUAUAAAAUUUUAUAUUGAUAAUAUUUUUAUAUAAAUUUUAUAUUUUAAGAAAUAAUAGUUUUUUUAAAUUAUAAAAAAUAAUAAUAAUAUCACUGAGCAUUUUAAUUUUUCAAAAAAUAAAAAAAAAGUUCAUGUAGUUUAAUUUGAUCCAUUUUAAUUUUUAUACUUUCAAAUUGGGAUAAAUAUCAAAGAACUUUGGGUUCAAUAUGUAAUUUGAUACAUAAAUUUUAAUUUGAUAUAAUUAUAUACAUGAAACUUGAAUUAUGGUUAUACGUAUACAUAAAACUUUUAUUUUGAUUCAAUUGUACACAUUUAAAGAAAUAAAAAAUUCAAUUAUUUUCAUAUCAAAUUAAUAUAAUUGUUUGAGUAUGCAACAUGCCAACAUGAAAUGGUUCUAAUUCAAUAAUAUUAUUAGUGAUUUGUGAAAUUUGAAUCAAAUUAAACUUUUAUGCACAAAAUCAGAGUUUAUGUAUGAUAUUGCACAUUGGAUUAAAGUUCAUCCGCAUUUUUUAUAUUUAUCCUUUUCAAUUUUUGAAAUUUCAGUCUUAACUUUCAUGAUAACAAUUGGGUUAGUUACAUACCAUACAUAACUUGUAGAGUUUAGUUUAUGUUCACUAAUUUGAUUAUUUUUUAUUUGUUUGCUUUUUCGAUUUCAAGAUUUAAGUUUUAAGCUUAACUUAAACAAUAGUCGUUAAAUUUAUUAACUAAAAUGUACGGGGUUUAUUGUGAGUAUUAUAAUAUGUUUGCCGUGUGAGAUUUUGGUAAUAGUAGAAUUUAACUUAACAAAUUUAAUGGCUACUACUUAGUAAGGAUUAGAAUUUCAAAAUUAAAAAAAAAAUAUAGAGGCUAAAGAUGAUCAAUUUAGAGGUCUAAAUUAAAUCAAAUUAAAAUAAUUCUGCAUAUGAACUAUUUAGACUAACUAAUGUGAUUAUAAAAUUAGAGGUUCAAAUUAAGUAAAAUUAAAAUAUAAAAACUAAAUCUCGAAUGUGAGUAUAAUAGAAGGAUAAAAAGUGAUUUUUGGUCAUUUUCUUUUAUAUACAAAUAUUCUUAGAGAUGUUCUUUUAUAUAUAAUGGUUUCUAAUAUCAUAUGCGUGGCAUAUAAUUUUAUGUGUUUAAUUUGUUUUAUUAAUUACUUAAAUAAUAUAUUUUUAAUUACUGUAAUUAAUGUAAAAUAAUUUUUAUUAUUUGAAUCAUUGCACAAAAUUAAAAUAUACUAACUUAUUUAACAAUUCAAAUAUAAUAAUAAUCCAAAUUAUAAUUAUAGCAUUUUUACAAUAUUCAAUAUACAAUAUAGUUUUACUUCAUACAAUUAAUACAAAAAAAUAUUAUUCAAAAUAAUAACUAAUAAACAUAAUUACCAUAUAUUAAUUAUUUUGAUAUUUCGAACAUAACGCUAGUAAAAAAUUUCCUAAUCAUUAUUAAAUCAUUUGUAUAAACUAUAAAGAAAUUGAUAUAUUGUAAAUUAAACUUUAUUCAUUUUUUUUCUUAAUACUCAAUAAAUUAAUCAUAAUAACUCAUAAAUAAUAUAUAAUUAAAAUAAUCAUAACAUAUUAGAUUAUAUAAAUAGGGGGCGAAUCUAGGGAGCUGGCAUGACCCCUAAAAUAGAAUUUUCUAUUUUGACCUAUCAAAAUUUUUAAAAUUUUAAAUUAGUAAAAGUAAAUUUGUACUUUGACCUCUUAAAAUUAUAAAAUUUUACUUUAAUCCUUUAAAAUUUACAUUUUUACUAUCAUAAAAAUUACAAUUUGAUUUUACCCCUAAAAUUUUUUUCUAACUUAGCCCUGUAUAUAAAUAUAUUAUUUAUAAUUUUUAUAUUUAAAAUAUAAAGUUUUUAAUUAUACAAAUAAUUAAAAUCUGAUAUUUAAAACUAAAGUAUUUUCUUUUUUCUUUUUACUUUUUUUUAAUUGCAACAUAAUGGUUUAAAUAUCUAUAUUACGUAUGAAGUAAUUUGAUAUAAAUUUUAUUUUAAUUUAUUAUUAUAUAAAUUCAUUUAGUAAAAACUUUUAAUAGAAUCAAAAUUUUUAUUUGUAAAUUCGAUAACUUUUCUUAUCAAGUAUAUUUGUGAGAACCAAAUAUUUAGUAAAAUUAAUAUUCUUAUUUAUAAAUAUGAUAAAUCUUAUAAAAAAAUAUUUAAAAUGAAGAAAAUUGUACAAAUAUUUAAAAUAAAAAACAUUGUACAAAGGCUAUAUAAGAAGUUCAAAAGUUUCUUCGACCAUGUACUCUUAUAGAGAUUAUAGAUAGAUUAUAAAACUAUUCGUAGUUUUUCUUAACUUUUAAAUAAGAGGAUAAAUGUAUUUUAAUGUACUCAAACUUACAUAUUCUUAUAUUGACAAUAAUAUCAAUACCAACCUAAUUAAGAUUCAUUCUAACAUUAAUGUUGAAGAUUUUUAAUAAAAGAAAAGGUUGAUAAAUUAAUUAGAACACAAACAAACACAAAUUUAAGUGGUAUGUAAGGUCCUUGACCCAAAGGAAAAAUUUGUUACGUCGAUUAAAUUAUAAAUUAAUUUAAAGUAAAAUUACAUUUUAACCUAAAAAAAAAAAGAGAAAAGUAUAUCUAAUUUCUUCGAAAAUGGAAAGAAAAUUAUAAAUUUAUGGCAUUUCUAAAAAAAUUCUGAAUUCGCUACUAAAAGAUGAAAUUAUAAAGUAGUGGGAAAAUUAUAUUUGAACAACACUGAUCCAAAGCAUUACCAGAAGAUGGAUCACCAAAUCACAAACAAUCAAUGAAAAGUAAUGAUAAUUAAUUGAAAGUGAGCAUUUAAUUUUGAUAGCCAUAUACUUCCUGCUGAAUUUAUAGGUUCUCAUUAAUGCAAUUAAAUUAUAUUCGACACCUUUUGAAUGAAAUAAAAUGACACAAGAGGAAAGACGGUUCAUCUAUUUUUUCUUUCAAUCGCCCAUCAAAAUACCAAAAAUGUAACUACAUGCAAAAAAUCAAAUAUGAAAAAUAUUCAUAUUUUGAUAUUUUAAUAUAUUGUGUGUUCAAAACGUAAAUGUAUUGAAAAAUUAUGAUGGUGUUGUUGCUGUAUGUCCAUAAAAUUCAAUGUACUCGCAUUUAUCAAAUGUAUACUUUGAGAGAAGUUAUUUUGAUAAUACUCAAGUUUUUUUUAUAGAUGGGAAAAAUUUUAAAAUUAUUUUUUGAUUUUGAUGAAAUGUAUAUAUAAAUUUUAAUUCGAUACAUAUAAAUAUAUAUGUAAAAUUUAAAUUUAAAUUUAAUAAUAUACAAUUAAGAAAAUAAUUUACAUAAAUAUAUAUCCUAAUAAAAAUAAAAUUAGAAAGAGGAAAUGUCAAAACCUCUUCAUUAUAUACAAAUAUGAUGGGACACGAUACCCUCAUGCAUUGAUAUCUCAUGUUGUCCAAAAACUCGGAAUCCUUUUUGAAAAAAAAACUUCCAGAGAGAGUAUAUAAAUCCAGCAGUAGGCACAAGAAACGAGCACCAGUUAUUGACUUUCCUUUGUAAAAAAAAAAAGUGCUGAGAUCAAGAAAUAUAGUGAAAUAUGGGUCCAAGAUUUUCUGGGUUUUUAAUCUAAGCAAUGCUGUUUUUAACUCAACUCCUCUCUCUAACAGGUAAAACAAACUUCUCUACAGUGAUUUUACAGUAAAUAUGGCUUUGAAAAAUAUACAACAAAACAUUUAUCUUCAAUCCAUUUUAAUUACUGAUCUACUAUAUAUGUUGCAGAUGGCCGUGAUAUUGGUGUUUGCUAUGGUUUGAACGGCAACAAUCUUCCAUCUCCAGGAGAUGUUAUUAAUCUUUUCAAAACUAGUGGCAUAAACAAUAUCAGGCUCUACCAGCCUUACCCUGAAGUGCUCGAAGCAGCAAGGGGAUCGGGAAUAUCCCUCUCGAUGAGUACGACAAACGAGGACAUACAAAGCCUCGCAACGGAUCAAACUCAUCAAAGUGCAGCCGAUGCAUGGGUUAACACCAACAUCGUCCCUUAUAAGGAAGAUGUUCAAUUCAGGUUCAUCAUCAUUGGGAAUGAAGCCAUUCCAGGACAGUCAAGCUCUUACAUUCCUGGUGCCAUGAACAACAUAAUGAACUCGCUCGCCUCAUUUGGGCUAGGCACGACGAAGGUUACGACCGUGGUCCCGAUGAAUGCCCUAAGUACCUCGUACCCUCCUUCAGACGGCGCUUUUGGAAGCGAUAUAACAUCGAUCAUGACUAGUAUCAUGGCCAUUCUGGUUUGACAGGAUUCGCCCCUCCUGAUCAAUGUGUACCCUUAUUUUGCCUAUGCCUCAGACCCCACUCAUAUUUCCCUCAACUACGCCUUGUUCACCUCGACCGCACCGGUGGUGGUCGACCAAGGCUUGGAAUACUACAACCUCUUUGACGGCAUAGUCGAUGCUUUCAAUGCCGCCCUAGAUAAGAUCGGCUUCGGCCAAAUUACUCUCAUUGUAGCCGAAACUGGAUGGCCGACCGCCGGUAACGAGCCUUACACGAGUGUCGCGAACGCUCAAACUUAUAACAAGAACUUGUUGAAUCAUGUGACGCAGAAAGGGACUCCGAAAAGACCUGAAUAUAUAAUGCCGACGUUUUUCUUCGAGAUGUUCAACGAGAACUUGAAGCAACCCACAGUUGAGCAGAUGUUCAACGAGAUGUUCAACGAGAACUUGAAAUGUUAUUGUUGGCUAUUUAAAUCUUUUGCCAGAGACGCUUCAUAUAGUUUCUGCAUAUUUUGAAAGUGGAAAAUCAAUCUAAAUAUAAAUAAGUUUUAUUUGUUGUUUUUUAAUUAAAUAAAAUUUUAAAUAUUUUAAAAACAUCUUUAUUGGUAAUUAAAUAUUAAAUAAAAAGUUUAAUAUUCAAAUUUUAUCAAUUCAAAAAUAAAAUAAAAAUAUAUUAAAUUUAUUUUUACGAAUAAAUUGAUUUUCUAUUAAUGCAGAUUUUAAAUAAUUUGAUAUAAAUUUUCAAUUCAACAAUAGUAAUUUUGAUCACAUCAAAGGAGAAAGGGAAAGAUUUAACUUUAAUUGGUGACCUAAUAUAACACGUUGAAAACGGAGUUCCCAGUAAGGCAAAAUGACUUGUAAUGACGAAAGAGAUGUCCAAGUGAAAUCUGCUUUAAAGUGAAAGAAGCAUAAAAGGAUAACUAAACAACUCAUGGUCUAAAUUGAAGUUCUAUAAAAUGCAACUUUCAUCUAGAAACAAGGUAUGUCUUAAAUGAUGUUUUAUGAAUUUGUCUUAAUUGGGUUUUAUGCAAUGAAUUCAUGGAUAGCACAUCUCUAAUUAUACGUUGCUGGUUUAUAUGAGAGUGGUGCAGAAGUUAAUUGUGCUUUAAAUACUUGCUUAGCGUUCAUGAAAUUUGAAAAGUGUUAUAUACUUAUAAUAAAAAUAAUUCGAUUCGGAAUCCAAUUCAGGGUUCGACUCAAUAUAAUAAAAUUUUACAGAUAUCUUGAAGGGGAUCUUCUUCUUCUCUACUUCUCGAGCAGUGUUAUAUAUUUACAAUAAAGAUAACUCAAUUCGAGAUCCGACCUAAUAUAAUAAAAUUCUACAGACAUAUCAAAGAGGGAGAUCUUCUUCUUCCCUACAUCUUGACCUUCUUGAUCAAAAUGACCUUCCUUAUAUUUUUACAUACGUUGAUUAUAUGAAUCAAAAGAAAGAUACCAAAAAGUUUUUAAAAAUAAACAACGGGGUUCUUAUGUAGAGAUGCUUAUGGGCCGGGCCGGGCUCAACUAAAAAUUUAGGCACAUUCAUUGGGCUCAGGUCGGGCCUAACCCAAAAAUGGGCCUAAAAUUUUGCCCAAGCUUGACUCAAAUAAAAAUGCUAAAAUUCGGGCCUGACCCCGUAUUAAUUUUAUAUUAUUUUAUAUAACUUUUAAAUAUAUAUAAUAUAUAAAAAAUACUAAAAAAAUUAAAAUAAAUAUUUCCCAACUAAACUAAAAUUAUUAAGAAAAAUAAUUCAUAUUAGCGUAUAAAUUGGAAAUUGACCAAAACUAAAAUUAUUGUAUAGUUAAUCUAUAUUAAAAGGACAUGUAAUUAAAAACCAUUAAAACUAUUAUACAAUAAAUUAAAUCUUCAUUGUAUACAUAGAAAGGCAUUAAUAAUUAAAAAACUAUAUUAAGAUAUAAACUAAAUUCAAAAUUAUUAAAAACAAGAACUAAAUAAAAAAGCAAUUGAAAAUUACGAAUUAAUGUUAAAAUCAAAUGUUAAAAUCAAGGGACUUAAAUAAAAAUAUCCCAAAAUACAAAACAUUAGCUUCCUUUCCCAUCCACGUGAAUGCAAAGUUUACAUGGUGUUUCCUAGUGUUUGUGCGACUCCAACCUUUUAUUUACCUCUUUUUUUCUUUAUUUGAACAAUUAUUUGAUAAUGAUUAGAAUUUUGGGAUUGUUGCUCAUCGUACGUGCAACACUUAAAAUCACUAUGAUUUUCAUAAUUUAUAUAACCUAUAUCGUUUUGGAAAUUAAUUUUAUUUUUUUAUAUUAUUUUAAUAAAAAUACCAUCUACCUUUUUUAAUUUAUGAUCCCUUUCAUAUUUAAAAAUUCAAAUUGACAAUUGUCUAACUAAACACCGUCACACUCCAAUAAGAUUGUAAUUUCCUCCAUCUUGAUAUUACACUCAAAAGCAUGUUGCCAACAAACAAAUCAACUAGCCUUUUUCUACCACUAUUCAUCAUCUUCUUAAGAGUGUGUUUAUGUCAUGUGCCGAGAUUUUAGGUAUGGUCACGUUGUGGCUUUAAACUCAAAUCUAUUGCCCAUGAGUCUAAGUUAGCCUCCGAUCCUCACUAAAGAGAGGCUUGGCACACUUUACCUAGCCAAGUACACAAGGAAUAGAGCUAUUAGAAAGCAUUAAAGAGUUAGGAGAAUGUGGAAGUGUUUUUAUUACUCAAAGCUAACUUGGAUACAAAUAAAGGAGGGAGCCUCUCCUUUAGGCAAGCUUCUUUUGAUCUGAUGGUUACAAUUAAUCUCGAAUAGGAGGGGUCAAACUUCUCACUCAGUUUCAUAUUAUCUCUUGGUGCUUGGUUGGCCUCCGCCUUGAGACAACUUUAGAUAACACCUAGUCUUAACACUUUUAGCUUCACAUUGUACGCAUCCUUCAUUACUCAAAUGCCACAAAGCCUCCUUACUUAAGGCUCUUGGUCGCUCCCACUACCUUCGGCUUUAGACUCAUCUAAGAUCUUCCCAAUCGCAGACAACUUGGCCUUGAUUAGGAAAUCUUGCACCCUAAGGGGCCUUACAUAAGAAGCAAUUAAGUGGCUUUCUCUCACCCACUUCAUUUACAGUUGCCUUGAGGCACCCUUUAUCUCGUCAGGGCUUAGCUCACCUUGUCUCCUCAUUUGACUAAUGGUUGUUAUUGGCUCCCCUACUCUUUUCCUUACCACGAUUCUUAAGGAAUUCAACUCAUUCACUAGGGUAAUCAACUAAGGACUCUGGUACUGUCAUAACUCGCAUAAGGUUUAAACACCCUUCGUUGAACUCCAUUCCAUUAAGAAAGCUGAAUAAGGCCUCACUCUCGCUCAUAUUCGACAUCUAAAGUAUCAACUCCGAAAACUUGUGCACAUGGUUAUACACCGUAUCACUUUGGGUAAGCCACCUAAACUUCGAUCAAGCCUCCUAAUUGGCAUACUUGAGGUAGAAUUGUAGCUUAAACUCCCUUUAAAAGGCUUCAAAAGUAUCAACGGUUCCACCUUCACGCCUUGCAUCAUCGCUCUUACGGUGCCACCAAAGUAAGGCAACAUCAAAGUAAAUUGAAGCAGUGCUUACCUUGAGGGCAUCUUCCUCAAUCCCGAUCAAAUAAAAGUAUUGCUCGAUGCUCUAGAGGAAGUUAUCCACCUCUUUGGCAUUACUCGUGCCUUUGAACUCUUUUGGCUUCAAUACAUCUACUCAAUAACUCGACCACAUUGGCAUGCCGCCACUUUUGGUUGCCUUGACACUUAAAAGCUCACCCUUCAACUUCUUGAUUUCUCUACUCAUCACCCCCACCAAUGCUUAGAGGGCCUCAUUCUUUCUGGCAAGCUCACCUAAGGCAUCCCUUAUAGCCCCAUUCAACUCCUCCAUAAGUUUUUCCUUUAGCUCAUCUCGAGACUGCCUCAUCUCAGAUUUGAUCUCAUAAAGGGAAUCUUUGGUGUCCUCCACCUUUAUAAGGACAUCGCUCAUAACCAACUUGAUUUUGGCCAUCCGGGUCUCCAUAAUGUUCACAAAGCCCAUUGACGAAACCUUAUUGCCCUUCAUGGCACCUCGAUUCUCAACCAUGUUGUCCUCUUGCUCACUUAACUUCUCGAUCACAUUAGCCAUCGUUCCAACCACAAUGUUAGAAAUGCAAGGUUUGAUAUCACUUGUCACGUGCUAAGACUUUAGCUUUGGUCGCUUGCAGCCUUAGACUCUGAUUUCUCACUAACGAGUCUAACACUUAUAGGCUUGGCACACAUCGCCUAGGCAAAUAAACAAGGAAGAGAGCACUUAGACAACACUAGAAAGUUGGGAGAAUAUGGAAGUGUUUCUAUUACACAAAGCUAGCUUGGAUACUGACUGGUUACAUGCGUGCGCAUUAAAACAACUAAUUUAUGAAACAAUUUUUAAAGUCCAAUUGUACUGUAAGUAUACAUGUCAGUUGUAAUAUUUAUAGUGUUACAAUAAAAUACUGGAAUAUUCUAAGGAUCGAACCCAAAGGAAGAGGUGAUUGGGCAAUAACUAGCAUACACAAUAGAGGCUAAGUGAUUAUUGAUACGAUUUUAUAUUACGACGAUUCAUAAAAGAUAAGUUUGCAAAAAAGAUUAAAUAUUCUUCUCUAGAGACUAAUUUGCAAGAAAUGUAAACUAGAAGAACUAUCUAAUAAAUGACUAAUGGGGGUUGGUUGGCUUCAUCCAACACGUGACUAGCUAGUAUUUUAGGAGGCGACAUGUAGCUAGGGAGGUCGACCCGUAUUAUAUCGUCCCUCGUGCCCUUAGGCAAAGGACGAGGAUAUACACAUAAACAUACUCUCCUUCAAGCUCCAACUUCAUCCCUUCAUUCUCUCAAGCCCUUUGCUCCGCUUUCUUUUCUGCUUAACUCCUUUUAUCCUAACCUCUGAGCUUCCUAAAUUGGGUAAAUUGACUCUGAUCUCCUUGCCAAUUUUCUAGUAUCAACAAAUUUUGCCUCUUUUCUUUUUCUAAAUAUAUAUAUAUUUUUACAUACUAACUUGCUUUGAUAAUUUUUUGCUUAUAUUUAUAUCGGAUAAGCAACAUUUAGUCUCGAAACUUGAUAACUUUUCCUAAUUUUGGUGACGAAGUGGCAUAAUUUCAAAAUAUCAUAUCAUCGUAUAGACUAAAAUUUAAAAAAAUUAUCAAGUUCAAUAAUUAAGUUGAAAUUUUUUUCCAAAUUCAAAGAAUAAAUAUUAAAUAAUUCCAUAUAUAUAUGUGGUAUGUGCGGUUCUUUUGUCUACAGUACUGUUCUUUUUAUGAAACUAUAAUUUAUUGAUCAAUUAAAUCAAUUAACGCUAUAUUGAUUAAUCUUCGAAUAAAAUCUCACAUGGCCAUUUGGAGCUUACAUUAAACUAUGCUUCUAGAAAUUUUGUAGCAAUCAAGUUUGGUAGGACAUUUAUUUUUUCUUUUCUCUCUCUCAUUACGCUAAAUAGAAAUUUAGGUUAUAUUUUAACAUUAAUUUCGAGUUUUAAUUUGAUUAAAAUAAUCGUUAUUAAUGGAAAUGCAUUUAAAUAUAUAAUAUCUCCGUAUUAAAAAAAAUUAAAAUUAAAAUUCAUUUUUAUUGCAUUUCCAUAUAAAAGUAAUUAUACGAAUGAACUAAGUUAAGUUUUGUUACUAAAAUUUAAUUUUUUAUGGAAUAUUAUUACAUGUUUAAUUCUUAUAUUUGCUUAGAGUUUACAUAUAUAAAAUAAAACUUUGCGUGAACUAUUAUAAUAGUUAUUUUUGUUUGUCUUAUGUUAUAUUUUGGUCACUUAUGUCUAAAAUAUUAUGUUUUAAUCACUUACGUUAUCGUGUUGUAACAUUUUAGUCACUGAACCACUAAUUGUCGUUAAGUAACGGUAAGGUUGUAACACUCCUAACCCGUAUCCGUUGUCGGAAUAAGGUUAUGAGGUAUUACUUGACUGAACAAAACUUCUAUAAGGUCAAAGAUACUUACCAGACAUAAAUUAUCAACAAUGCAAACCUAUCUCAUUGAUUUUCCAUAAGAGCUCUUAUAAAUUUUCAAAAUGACUCACUAUCAAAACAUAACCGAAUAUCUAAUAACAAAUUAACUACUAUCAAGUUAUAACUAAAACAUUUCAACAUAUUAGUUCAAUUAUAAGGCUUCUCUAAACAAAAUGAGCAAGCCAUCUUCGCAUGGCUAUAAAGUAUACAAAGUCGAAAUAUCAUUCUACCUAUAGUCUAUCCUAUACAUGCCUUAAACCAUGAUGAUAUACAAUCUUCUCAACUCACAUAAUGACUCGAUAGUGUGAUGAUAUCUCCGGCUCUUCCAACUCGAGCUAAAGUGUAAACCUAUAAGAAAUGUAAAAGAGAACACGGAGUAAGCUUCAAUGCUUAGUAAGUUUUAAGCAAUGCAAACAAUUAAUUUACUUAUAGAUCGAUUAUUUCAAAUUUUCAAAAAAUCAUUCUUAGAUAAUUGCCAUUUUGGCCAAGUAUCCAUGAACAUAAUGCAUUUUUAGCAAAUUCACCUCACUUGAAUCUGAACUCAAUUAAAACCAAAUAUUGAAAUCACAAAAAAGAUCAUAAGAACUCGAAAAGCAUCUCAUUAACUAGUUUUAACCAUGUUUGUAACAAAAUCACAAAAUCACUACAAGCUGUCUUCCUGAGCAACAGUCACUAAAUUAUUUAUAACUGGAGCUAAGAAACUCCAAAUCAAGUACCGUUAAUUUUCCCUAAAAAUAGGCUCAUAUAUCUUCCAUCCAUCAAAUUUUUAGAAUUUUUGGUUUGACCAAUCAAUACCAGAUUUUUAUUGAAGUUUCCCCUGUUUCACUGUUUGACUAAUCUGACCACUCUUCACUACGAAUCAAUUUUCUCAUUAUACAGAAUUCGAAAUAUGUUAUCGUUUAUUUCAUUUGAAACUAGACUCAUUAAGGAGUCUAAAAAUAUAAAUUUUAUCUUAUAAUCAUCAUUAUACAAUUUACAAUAAUUUUCUAAAAACAAAAUAGGGGAUUUCAAAGUCAUUUUGACUCUAUCUCACGCCACUUCAAAUAUCUCAUUAUCUACAAUUCUUUUGUUUACACGGUUUCUUUUAUAAGAAAAUAGACUAAUUAAUCUUUAAUUACAUAAUUUAUUUAGCUUCUAAUUCAAUUUCCACAAUUUAUGGUGAUUUUCCAAAAUCACGCUACUGUUGCUGUCCCAUUCAGAUUUAUUACAAAUUUACUCUUUCACACAUUCCUUGCAUUCAAAUUAUCUAAACAUGUAUAUCAUGUCAUUCAAGAUCGAACUCAUAUAACAUAAGCAUUAAAAUGCUUCACUAUCAGCUUUAGUUCAAUUGAAACGAAUAAAAUACAAUAUCAUAUUCACAUUUAAUUUUCCAUGAACGUAAUCACCUAAAAAUAAAAUCAUAUACUUCCACAAACCUUUCCACAAAGACCAAGUGUUUAUAUUUGAAUAUAAACAUAGAAUCACUUCACAUAACUUCACACAUUUACUGAAUAUAUCAUGAUCACAUUUAUAGUCAUAACACUUAUUCACAGAUGCAUCACUUUAUCUAUUUAUAAUUUAAUUCAAAUCAAAAUCGCAUACGAGUACAUGAUACAUACCUGGCCAACUUAAUAUGUAAUGCACUUUCAAUUUGUCAACUUAGUGUAGGAUCUUGUAAUUGUAUACUUUUAUCAAAUUCAUCGGCACUUGGCCUGCUAGGUAUAAAACCCGAAAUUAUAUUACCAGCACAAAGCCUACGGGACUUUAGCUCGGAUACAUUUCCAGCACGAAGCCUGCGGGACUUUAGCCCAGAUACAUUUCCAGCACGAAGCCUGUGGGACUUUAGCCCGGAUACAUUUCCAACACGAAGCCUGCGGGACUUUAGCCCGGAUACAUUUCCAGCACGAAGCCUGCGGGACUUUAGCCCGGAUACAUUUCCAGCACGAAGCCUGCGGGACUUUAGCCCGGAUACAUUUCCAGCACGAAGCCUGCGGGACUUUAGCCCAGAUUCAUUUUCAACGUGAAGCCUGCAGGACUUUAGCCCGGAUACAUUUCCAGCACGAAGCCUGUGGGACUUUAGCCUGGAUACAUUUCUAGUGUCUUGCAUAUUUAUUCACAUGUAAACACAUUUCACAUAACAUAUCACAUUAGCAAUUCAAUUGCUUCAUUCGAAUAUAAGCACAAAAUGUACACCUACCCUUUAACUUUCGGUUCAAUAAUCAUACACAAGGAACACAUAAUCUUUUCACUAUCCCAGUUUCACUUUUAAUAACCAUUCGGCUAUAGGCCAUAUUCACAAAUUAUUUCACACACAACCUCGAUCAAGCAGGAACAAUAGUCACAAUUCAUCUAUUAUACAAAUAUCCCAUUCUUUGACUUUGUUUCAUAAUAGCUAUUCGGUCACCACAUAUAUACCAUUCAAUUCACAUUCGAAUUUAUACAAACAAGUACAAUAAAAGUGUAUACAUAUUACACACUUGCACAUCAUCACUUAAUAGUCAUUCGGCCACAUUAUAUACAUAAAUCAUCCAUUUCAUAUUCGGCUUUAUAGCCUAAAUACAAUAUACUUAUUGCAAAUCGAACUUGUAAAGGUCAAAUAAUUACUUAUCAUUUUAUAUAAUCUUAAGCGCGUAACAAAUCAAAUUUAAUUACUUAAGGACUUACCUCGGACAACGAUAAUCGGAACGAGACGACUAAUCGACCACUUUAAUUUCCCCCCCGAUCCAAAUCCGAAUUCCACUUUUGCCAAUCUAAUUAAUAUCAAAAUUAACUCACUUAUUCAACAUUUCAUUAAAUUUUAUCUAAAGGCACAUAAUUUGGGCAUUGCAUUUUAUCCCCUAACAUUUUACAUUUUUACAAUUUAAUCCCUAUUUCAAAAUAACACAAAUUACUCAAAAUUUCAUCAAACCCCUGUUAGGCCGAAUUUACCUUAGGUCUCUAGUAACCCAUAUCUUUUAUUUAUUUCACGUUUUGACCCAUUAAUUUACAAAUUUCUAAAUUUAGUCCUUAAUACACAUUUUUAUCAAAAAAAUCACUUAAUUAAACAUGAAAAUCAAACAUCAAAGAUUUAUUAAUCAUCAUCAAACAACAAUUUCAUCACAUAAUAAACAAUGGAAAAUCUCAAAUUCUUCAUUAAAUCCAAAAAUUAAGGCAUGAGUUUACUAGUACUCGAAGCAACGAUCUCAAAAACGUAAAAAUUAUAAAAAACCGAGUAAAACACAUACCCGAAAUAAGCUUUCAUAGUGCCAAAUAUUCAAAGCUUCCAAACUCAUCUUUUUCUUUUCACAUUCGGCUAUGGAGAAAGAUGAUAGCAUAAAAAGACAAAAACACAUGGCUUUUGAUUUAUUUAAUUAAACUUUUUUUUAACAUUUUACCAUUUUACCAUUAAAAUAAAUUCAUAUAUACACAAAUGCCAAACCAAAUAUCAUCCACUAUCUUAUAAAUGGGCUAUUUACCAUUUAAGGCCAUCAUAUUAAAAAGCCAAGGCCAAUUGACACCUUUAACUAAUAGCAUGCAACUUUUACGUUUUACGCGAUUUAGUCCUUUUUAUUAAAUCAAGCACACAACGAUAAAAUUUUCGUACGAAAAUUUCACACAUAUCAAUUCACAUACUUUAAACACGGAAAAUAAUAUUAAAAUAUUUUUUACUCGGAUUCGUGGUCCUGAAACCAUUGUUCUUACUAGGGUCUAAACUAGACUGUUACAAAGGUGACGUGGUACGUUAAAUUAUCAUUUCAAACAAAAAAAUUAAGGUAAAUUAUAUAAUUGGUCCUUAUAUUUUUUGUUUUGAGUAAUCUAAUUAUUUUCUUUUAUGUUAUUUUAACUUUAUUUUUUCUUUAAUUUCCAUUAUCUUCAGUUUCUCCCUUUUCCAUAUCUUUUAAUAUAGUUUUUUUUAUAUUUUUUAUUUGUUAAAACUAGUCCUAUAUUUUUAUUUUGGUACUUGAACUUGACACUUUUUAGUCCAAUUUAAUACUUGAACUUAACACUUUUUCCUAAUUUGGUACCUGAACUUGAUAUUUUUUUUUAUUUGGUACUUCAUCUUUUUUUAUACAACUUGAUACAUAAACAUGACUGUUUUUAUUAAUUUGAUACCUAAUCUUUUUUUAUUAAUUUUGACAUUUGAACUUAACAGUUAAGUAGUUUGAAAUGAAAGCAAAUCAAUGUUAGCAUGGCAUUUAUAAAAAAAAUAAUACUGACAUGGUUUUUAGGUGGGAUUUCUAAAGUAAAAAAUAAAAAUAAAAAUCUAAAAAAAGUAACAAUGUUCUUCAUCUUCUUCUUACACUUUCCACCAUUCAAUCGAAUACAAUGUCUCUCGUCUAUACCAAUGAACUUUCACAAAUUUCGAUUAAGGUAAAGGGCCUAUAAAUCGGGGAUUUCGUCGAUUUGAGGUUCCUAAUGGAAUUUGGGUUUCACAGUUAGGGAUUUAGUGGGUCCUAAGUGGAAUUGGAAAUGAGUUAGGGAUUUAAAAAAAAAAAACAUAAAAAUCAUAUUAUUGAAAUCAAGGUUUCAAAUUUCAUGGGAGACCUGUAGUAGAUAAGGAGUAAAGACGACGCAAUUUUUUUAGUUAAUUUGUAUAACAUUUAAUAAUUUUAUGUACUAAAUAGAAUCUAAAAAUAAUUUAGACAUCAAAUUAAGAAAAAAGUCUCUAUAAGCGCUUUCGGAUGUUCACAAUAUAUGUUUUCAGAUACCGCUAUAUAAUUAUAAUUCGUAUUUGCUCAAUGGAUACAAAACACCCAUAGAUUUGAGGUACUCAAUGUGAUCUUAAGCCCUUUUCCAAUUAAUAUAUGAGUCCGCUUCCACAUCGUUUAAUUUCAAGUUUUUAAGUGCAUGUAUUUUAAACUUGGGAAAUCUGUGUAAUGAGCCCUUACUUGAAUAGAUUCGAAAACAUUAGGCCCUUAUUUGAAUGUUUUAAAACGUUUGGCCUUUAUUCAAACAACUUUGAAAAGGUUAGGUCUUAUUUGAGUAUUUAGCCAUAAAAAUAUGCUUAGGAUGAGAUUUGAAACCAUACCAAUUGUAUUAGUAAAACUUAAAAUUUACCACUUAAAGUUUUAUUUUAAAAUAUGAUUAAUUAAUUUCAAAUCUUACGUUAUAUUAUUUUUAAACAUAUAUCUGUAUUUUUUCACAUGUGCAUGCGAGUGAUAGGAUUUUUAAUUUUUAUUAUAAAAUAAUUGAUAUUUAAGAUUUAGAUUUAUCUAUAUAUAUUUUAAAAGAAUUAUCCAUAUCUUUACAUAGAUAUACAUAGUAAUAUAUUAUUUUUAUAAAGUUUUUCUUAAUCUUUUUAUUUGAUAUAUAUUAAACCUAAGAGAAAAGAAAAGGAGGAUUUAUUUAAAGGUUCACAUCCUUGCCUAUCAUGCCACGUGGCGUUCAACGGUUUGCGGCGUGUAAAAUUUUGAAAGAUUUUACCAUCGUCAAUCCGGAUACCAAAAGAUUAGACGGAAGAAAAAUUGAGGUGUGAAAUUGGAGAAAAUUAAAAAUAAAAUGAUGAGAAAUGAAUUACCAUUUAUCCCUUCAAAAACCCAAAAAAUUGACUUCAAAAAAAGGAUCCGAUAUUCCUCUUGAAGCUUCAUUAAAAUAUUAUGUAUUGAAUUUUGUUUGUCAGAUUUCAAUAUUCUCAUAUUGAAAUAAUAAAGAAAAGCAACUUAUAUUGAAAACGUAGCUUCCUUUCAUUACCUUAAAAAAUAAUGAUGUACGGAUCAUUGAGAACAGAAUUUAACUCAACUCGCUCAAAUAAAAUAAUCAUGAAAUAAAAGUAUUUGUUGUUAUAAUUUUUUUUUAAAAUAUCAAAUAAAUAAUAAAAACAUGGUUAUGUUAUGUUGGAAGAAGAUGCAGAGGUGGAAUAAUGGUCCCACCACUCCGGAAGCCAAACAAUAUAAUCUUUCCAAAUGACAUUUCUCAUUUUCCACGUGGCACCGCGUAUACUCUGAUUUAUUAUCUUUCUCACUCGCUCCCGACGGCGUUUACCAGUCUUUUCUAUCUCCUCUUUCAGCUUUUUUCUCUUUCUCCCCCUCUUCGACUCGCCUCUUUUCCGCUCCCAUAUUCUUCUCACCUGAAUUUUCCCUGAAAGUUGGCCAAGAAGAUAAAAAGUUUCGUUUCCCUUCUGAAUUGAUAUUUUUGGAAACCCUAGCUUACCUCGAUUGUAGACCUUUUUUUUAGAUGGAUUUGGCUGCAUAUGCAUUACCUACCUCGAUUCUUUAGUCGUAGAAGCGCGAUGUAUUCGAAGAGGAGCCGGAGUAAGCCGAGACUCGAGCGCCGCAAUGCAGCGAAGCACAUCGACUACGAUGCAGCGUCGUUUUCUUCGUCUCUCGAUGAUACCUCUUCAUCUUCUUCUCUAAUCACGCGAUCGCUCGAUUUGUCCGAUAAAACCAGCUUCCGUAUCCAAGGAACAGAGGGAGAGUUCGACCUUAUUUGUCGGACCUUGGGCCUUUCUGGUCCUGAAGAUUUUUCCAUUCCAGCCGCCGCUUGGGAGUCCCGUAAAAUUCGAUCCUCGUCGGAUCUUCUGCCUCGGUCCAGAUUGAACCGGCUGGAUAGUCCUGAGGAAGAGACAGGCAAGAUAAUUUUAGAAGACGGCACUGAAGUAACAGUCUCUGAAUUAACUGAUAGGGUUUUGGCUUCUGCUUUGACCGAAGAUGACUCGCCCGAGUUGAAGUUAAACGAGUGCUGCUGUGAUGAUAGAAACUUGGUCGAUGUUGCUACUUCAACUGAAUUGAAGUCAAACGCAUGCUGGGUUUCGAAUGUUGUCGAUGGAGGAGGGAAUUAUGGAAUUAAAGGGAUUAGGCCACCGGGUUUAAAGCCGCCGCCGGUGAUGAAGCUACAGGUAGUCGAUAGCGCUUGCUCAACUUGGGAUCUGUUUAGGGAUUUCGCCCCCGAAGAUGAUAGAGGGUGUAUAGUUCAGGUUCACUUACAUUCAUCUUCCGAUGAAGAAAAAGUUAAAGGAGAGAAGGAUAGGGGUAAUGAAGAAAAUGCUAAGGAGGAGGAUAAUUCAAUGAGAAUGGGAGAGACUGCAGUGCUUUCUGAGUCGUGCUCGUUUAUAACUUCAAAUGAUGACGAUUCUUCGAGUUCUACCACAGAACCUAUGUCAAACACUUCCCCUAACGGUAGGUUCAAAAGAACAAUUACUUAUUGGGAGAAAGGUGAGCUUCUGGGGCGUGGAUCAUUUGGAUCAGUUUUCGAAGGGAUUUCUGAGUAAGUGAUGAAAUUCUGUCCCAACUUUAUUUCCAGCUUGAUUAAAUGCUUAUAGCUAGUUCUUUUUAAUCAAGAUAAUUUAUCUAUCUUUUGAUAUGCGCAAAUUAGUUUGGGAACUGCCUUAUGCCUAAUUGUCAUAAUUUUGUCGCUUUGGGCGGCACUCUUUUAGAGGUCAGAAAGCAUCUAGGGUCAAAAGCUGUUCUUGGUGUUGGUUAAGCAUCCAGAGAAAGGCAUUUUUGUAUUUGUUUUUAUUUUCUUUGGUCAUCCUAGUUUCCAUCGCCCAUUCCCUUAGUUCUUUGGGGAGCACUGUAUUACAUGUUUCAGGGUUGCAUCCAAAGAUUGCUAGAUAUCAUUAAUUCCGUUAAUACCAAUAAAUACCUAAUAUUUGGACAUCUUGUGUUUUUUCUACCUCGAACUUUAAGGCGUUGACGCAUUUUAGCCUUAAGGUUCAUUAGCCUUUAAGUGUUACUUUGUUUGCUGCUUGAAGUUUUGCGUAGUUGAUACACUCAUGUAGCCAUUUUUGUGGGCAAAUUAUGGAUGAUUAUGAACCCCUUCCUUUAUGGUGAGUACAGGUAAAGUCCAUUAUUGACUUAUGAAGGGUUCUGCUUGUUGAUUCCGGUCUAUGGCUUCCGAUGAUCCUAUGUGGUUAGAAACUGGUUAACUGGAGAUAUCCUGUUCUAUAGCUGAUUUUAAGAUGAUGAAUUUAGUUGUUUUCUCCAAGCUCCUAAUCUACUUUUAACCUUCCCAAUCAUUAUGUAAUUAACUCACAUCAAAAGGACAUUACGUGCCUAAGGCCUCUCGAACCCACAACCUCCAGGAGUCUGUCAGCAGCAUGCAUACCAUCUGAGCUAGCACUUAGUCGGUAUGAAUUUAGUUGUUACCUAUUGUUCAAGAGUUGAAAAAUAAACCUAGGGAAGCUCAUUGCACUGCGAUCUUUGAGAUGUGAAGCUAAUUGUUGAUAUUUUGGAAAGCUAUGGAAUGACAUCAUCUUGGAGUGACUGAAUGAAGUACUGUUAGAAAUACUUUCAAAAUUGCAAGGAAAAGCCCAUUUUAUCUUAUUAGCUAUUAAUUGGUUAUCUACUUGUCCAAUAGAUUACGUAUUACUUUUAUUUAGGAAAGAGAUGUUUUUCUUUUACUCAUGCUUUACUAAUUAUUUAUUUAUUCAUGUCCUUGUAGCGAUGGAUUCUUUUUUGCCGUGAAGGAAGUUUCAUUGCUUGAUCAAGGAAGUCAGGGGAAACAAAGUAUUAUCCAACUUGAACAUGUAAGACAGAUUUUCUCUUCUACUUUUUUAAUUGUUCGUUUUCAUGAAAUACCCAUCUUCUACUUGUUUCUGUCUGAUAUAAUUUCUUUAUUUCCUUUCGUUUUCAGGAGAUUGCUCUUUUAAGCCAGUUUGAACAUGAAAACAUAGUUCAGUAUUAUGGCACAGAUAAGGUUCUAUUUUUUUGACACUCAGCUUAAUAGGUUAACCUCAUAAAUGUUCUUCUUCCUAGUUGUCUAAUUUUUUUUUCUUUUAAUUUUAUGGUCUUUGCAGGAUCAGUCAAAAUUAUACAUCUUUCUUGAGCUUGUAACCAAAGGAUCCCUUUUAAAUCUAUAUCAGAGGUAUCAUCUCAGAGAUUCUCAAGUCUCUGCAUAUACAAGACAGAUUUUGCAUGGAUUGAAGUAUCUUCAUGACCAAAAUGUGGUUCACAGGUAAGUAAAGGGACCUUAUGUUGCUGCUUAAUUAUUUAUGUACCACUUAAAAAACUUUUGUUUGUUUUCUCUAGCCAAAUCUGAGUUUUUAUUUGUACUUCUUUUAGGUGUAUUUGCUAACAGCAAAUUGCUUCAUAUGAGAAAUAAAAUAAAAAUUUCUUCACUUUAACAGAUUGAAGUUUUCAGUCCUUAUCUCUAUUGGGAUCUGUUGUAAUGAAUCAUAAUCUGUAUGCAUAUGUCAUAUUCCCUCUCGGAAGACUUUUGAAGUCGAGAAUAUGAAUCAUAAUCUGUAUGCAUAGAAGAUUUUUUCAGCAUUUUACUUGCUAUUAUUUUGUAUUAUUUUUCCCUUAAGGUUAGAUGCCUGCGCAUUUGUUAUUGUUGUGAUAUUGAAAGUAAAAUUGUGUUCUUUUUCUAUGCUCUACCUAAGUUUCCAUGCACUUAGAAUAUUCUUCUCUCAAGGCUCAUUUACUUGUAUGUUGAUACAGGGAUAUCAAGUGUGCAAACAUAUUGGUGGAUGCAAGUGGGUCAGUGAAGCUUUCAGAUUUUGGGUUGGCAAAGGUUUUUAUCCGAAACCUGAGACUUUAAUUGUCUUUCUUGUUUUAUUAUCUUUAAGCAGGUCGAACUCAUGUUGGUGCUGAUGCUUGUUUCCAGGCAACCAAGUUUAAUGAUGUUAAAUCAUGCAAAGGGACAGCAUUCUGGAUGGCCCCCGAGGUGUGCUUCUAUUCUUUCCUUUCAGAAAUGAUAAUCUGUAAUAGCUGCUGUUUGAUUUGUGUAGAAUAUCAGUUUCUUUUGUAUUGGGGAUCCUGCUUGAGAUAUUUAGCUUCAUAGUAUACUGAAUAUUAGGAAAUGAUGACAUGCAUUCUUGGUAAAUAUUUCUCCUGUACUAGAGAUAUACAGCUUAUGAGAAUACUCAAUUAUGAAAAGGAUGAUAACAUAAUUCUUUUCAGAUAUUUAUCUAUAGUGUACAAAAGGUGUGAAUCACUCUUUGCUGAUCCAUCAUAAUUUUCUCAGGCUUCACUCAAUUGGCUGGAUCUUAACAUUUAGUUUACAGUGAACACUUCUUUUAUCUUUUAGCUCACUAGUAAUUUCCUAAGUAGUAUUUGGUUAGACAAUUUUCAUUGACGGAUAAUUGCUAAUGUUUUGGUGAUGGCAGCUUUCCUUUUCUGAAACACUGCUGGCCCUUUUUUAAAUCAUACCUGAAUGGUGUCUUCAGUUUCUAGUUGGAUGGGUUUCAGUACUUUUUUUCUUCUAGAAACACACCAUUCUUGUUGUCUUUUCUACGUAGUAGUUAUUUGUUUUUGUGACACAGACUACUGGUGAUGAUUAGUCCUCCCGAAUUCUGAUUAUCAGCUGUUGAAUUACAGGUUGUCAAUAGGAAGGGUCAAGGGUAUGGACUUCCUGCUGAUAUAUGGAGCCUUGGUUGUACUGUGUUGGAGAUGUUAACACGUCAGAUUCCAUACUAUUAUUUGGAACAUGUAUGUACCUCUUCUUCCUGAUAUGAACAUUAGUUUACUUGACAAUUAAGUUUAUGUAAAAUCCAAAUAAAGAAGAAAAAAGGAUCUGGAAAUUUCUAUGCUGUCAUCUCCAAAUUUCAAAAAGGCUUAUAGGGUUUUAAAGCAUGAAAUUUGGUUCCUACCAUGAAGCUUUGUCCAGAAAGGUGUGGACGAAUAUUAUAUUUGUUUCAAAUAAUUUCCUUCUACAAGAGCUAUUGAGUUAAAUUUUUAUAAUCUCCUUUAUUGUGCAAUAAUGUCAUCGUUUGUGUAAUUCAAAACAGAUGCAAGCAUUGUUUAGAAUUGGCAGAGGUGAGCCACCUGCAGUUCCUGAUUCAUUGUCGAAAGAUGCACGGGAUUUUAUCUUGCAAUGCCUACAAGUAAAUCCGGAUGCUCGUCCAACUGCUGCUAAACUCUUGCAGCAUCCAUUUGUGAAGAGGUCUUUUCCCACACACUCAGGCUCAGCAUCUCCUCAUCUUGGUCGUCGGAUAUGAAUGUUUAGCCAUGAAACUAAAUUGCAACAAGUAAUCAGGUAAACAUUUUCUGCUGAUCAUAAAUCCGUUGGCAACAUGCUCCUUUGGUCAGGUUUCAGAAGAAACAUUGUCCUGGAACCUUCAUUAUCACAACAUGUUAGCUAUCCAUAUCCUAAGAUACCUGAAUAUUAUCCGGUAACAAUGGUACAUUUUUGGUAUCAGUUUAGCUUCAUUCAGAGCUUUGUUCUUGUAUUUGUGUGCAGAAAGUUACACAUUCACGGAGUCUAGUUAUUGCAUGCAGCUCCGUCCUUCAUGAGGAAGAAGACAAGUUUGCCUUCUCGGGCUCUGAUGUUGCUACCUUUAGUUUUGCUCCUAGAGACUCAAAGAGUCUCAAACCUGGUAGGCAGAAAGCAAUUCUGAAGCUUUGGCUAUGGUCUAAUGGCAUUGACAUUAGAUUUAACUAUCCAUGACCAUGAACCCACGAUGAAGCUGUAGAGAGCUGAGCUGCUCUUAAUGUUAAAAUUAUUUGUUAUAGUUUUGUCAGGUCUGGGAUUUGAUUUAGCCCUUAUUUUAUGUAGAUUUUUUUUUUUGGGGAUUUGGGUGAAACAUUAGCUGUAGGAGAAAUUGUAGUAACAAUUAGAAAGUUUGUAUAUAUGUAUCUCAUUAUUGAUGCAAAAAAUAAAUACUAGUUUGCUCUAUGUAUCGAUUAUAUCUAAUAUUGAGAUUACGAGAAUUACGUCACUUUAUGAUUGUUAUUACCAUAAAUAAUAUAUUUAUUUGCAUUUAGACCUGCAGUUGGAGGUUUGGCUUAAAAAUAGAGGGUUUGGAUUUAAGGUUAGAAAAAUGAAUUUGGAUAAAAAUUAUGGGUUAGAUUUUAGGCAAGAUUUUUUUUGGGCUCAAGUUUGACCUGGCCUGAAUAUUAUAUUAUAAAAAAAUAUUAAUUAUAUAUAUUAAAUAAUUAUAUAUAUUUAUAUUUAUAUUAAAUUACUAAUUUAAUAAUAAUUAAAUUUAUUAAUUAAAACUUUAAAAAACGUACCCAACUAAAUAACUUAACUCAAAAUAUAAAUUUUAAAAUUUAUAUUUAAUACAAUAAAAUAUUUAUUAUAUUUAUUUGUGUUUUUAAUAUAAUAAAACAUAUAUUAUAUUUAUGGUAGUGUUUUUUAAUAUAAAUAUUUUUAAUGUGUUAGAAAAUUUUUAUUUUAGCCUUUUUUUUAAGUGUAUUUAGUUUAUUAUAUUUAAAAAAUAUUUUUAAGUAAAAAUUAAUAUAAAAAAAUCAAAUAUGAAUGGAUCAGGUUAAACUUGAGUUUAACUUUCUUAAAUUAAAUUAAAUUAUUAAAAAAAUAAAUCUAUUUUUUAAACCGACUAGACUCAAAUUUAAAACUUUAAUUUAAUGGACUCAACCUACCUGCCCAACCAUGAGUACCUCUAUUUGCAUUAUGAUUAUCUAAUUUUGCGAUGUUAAUUCUCUUUACAACCAGUGUACUGGAAAUUAGUAUAAAUGGGUAAUGGUUGAUUAUAAUAAAAUGCACCAUCAUGAUUCCUGAACUAAUUUAUCAGACUCAAUUUAUUUUUAUCGUUUAUAAAUAAAAAUCAUAGUGCUAUGAAAUUAUUUAUAGAAUAAUUAGAAAAAGGAAAUUUAUGAUUACAAUCACAAUCUCUGUAUUUUAUAGUUAACUGUGUAAUGUUUAAAAGAAUAAAAAGAAAAUCGAUAACAUUUUAUUGUAACUUUUAUCGUAUAAAUAAAAUCCGGACAUUGUAUAAAUUUUUUGUUUGCUUGAUUAAGAAAAGAGUAACCAUAGAUCUCAGGUAUUCUGUACUAAGCCAGAUUACAUUAAAAAAAAAAAAAAAAAAAAAACAAACAAACUUGAAAACAAUAUCUUCCUUAAAAGUUUGACAUCAAUCUCCUCUCAACGACUUUAUAAAAUAGACAUUUGGAUUGAGUUAGAUUUGUUUAAACUUGAAAAUAGGUCAUCCAACUAAUUUUUAUAGGACAUAAAUUACAUAUAAAAUAACAUUAUAAAAUUAAAAUUAAAAACGACUUGAGCCAAACUCAAAUUUUUAAAUAUUAAAGUUUGAAUUUGACUCAUAUUUUUAAAAUAUUUAAUUUUUUAUGAACUUAUUUUUUAAAUUUACUAUUUUUAUUUAAAUUCUUACAAAUAAGUAAACUUUAGAGUUUAAACAAAUAAUUGAGAUAAAGUGGAAUAUUCUUGAACUCAUACCAGAGGUGUUAAAAGUUUAAUAGUUUCGUAUAUCCUAUAUCAUAAACAUCAUCAUGAAGAAUUCUCAAUUAGUAUGAUAUAAAAACAGGUUGAUUCGAUGUACAUGAUGGCAUAAUUAUAUGACUAAAUUGAAUGGUGAAUUUAUUAAAAAUUAUUAAAUUACAAUAUAUUCACAAUGUUGGUAAAUAUAUAUAUACAACAAAUAUAUUUAUUAGAAAUUUAUGCAAUAAUCAAAUAACAUUUGAUUGAAAUAGUAAAGUUGAAGGUUUCAAAUUUAUAUAUCAACCGAGAUUCAAAUUUCAUCUUAUGUGAUAUUUUAUUAAUUUUACAUAAAAAUGUAAAAAGACAAAACACCUUAAUAAUAAUGAUAAUAACAACAACAACAACAACAACAACAAUCUAUUUUAUUUUAUUUUAAUAAUUUUUCAAUUGAAUUGGUGUUGAUUAACUCGUGACAUCGACUCAAUUAAGAAUUUUAAGUAUAAUGUAGAUGGAAGUAAAUAAUUUUUUUUUAAUUUUGUACUAAUAAUAUAUAUAAAGAAAUAAUAAAAACUACUCUUUCGGAAAUUAAUAUAUAUAUAUUAAGUGUGUUUGGUUCACGGAAUCUAAAGAUUAUCUCUGGUAAUUACAUCAACAACACGUAAGAUUACUUGACACAUUACUGAAUAUGUUACAUUACUUUAUUUGGUUUAUUUAGUUGAAAUGUAAAAUUUUAUUAUUUAGUUGAUAGAAUAUAAGACCAUUUAAAAACUAAUUUUACUUAAUUAUCUUUAUAAAUUUUUCUCUUUUUUAUUCUUUACUACAAAAAGAUUGAAGUUUUUUUAUAUUUUAUUGUAUUGAUAAAUGACUGAAUUUCUUAAAUAAAUUAAUUUCAUGUCUACUUUCUCAAAUAAAUAAAAUAAAUAUGAGGAAGAGUAAUACAUAGUUAGGGCUUAUCUUUUGAUUAAAGUGACAAGAAAAAGAAAGAAAUAAAAAUAUUUUUUUUACUAAAACAUGUUAUUUUUUAUGAUUUAAGGUUAAAUUUAAUUAAAAUAAUAGAAUUGAUAAAUUUGUUAAGUUUCUUCAUCUAAAAAUAACAAUAGUUGAAAUGUUUGUAUAGACAAAAAUCUUAAUUUUCCUCAACUGAAAUAAUAAUAUAUAGUAAAAAAAUAUUAUUGUUUUAUUUUGGUUUAAGUAAAAUAGUAAAUUUUUUUUUUUCAAAAGUGUGUAAUUGUAGAAAAGUUUACAUUACAAAAUAAUAAUUUUUGAAAAAAGAAAGCAAGAUAAUGAAUAAUUAAUUAAGAAAGAGGUGGUUUUUAAGAUAAUUGAUUUAAGAUCAUUUUUGAAAUUCGAAUAAAAAAAUUUACUCAUACAAAUAUAAAUUUAGUUGAGUCAAAAGCUUCUUGUAGAGAAUAUAAAGAGGAUAUUGUAAUCAAUGUAGGAAGAUUUGAAUUCGAGCGUGUUGAAGUUCAUUUCCUUCUCUUUAUAUAUUAGGGAGGGGUUAUGAAUAGUUCUAAACAUUAUAUCAAAAAUUAAAUAUAAUCAAAAAUUUAUAAUAAAAUUAUUUUAAAAAAAAAAUGUAUGUCAUAAUGUGGGAGAUGAAGCUAAGCCAUUGUCAUCAUUACGCACCAGGAAGAGUGGUUUUGUUGACUACGACAAGCUUGCUGUGCCCAUAACUAACAAACCAUGUUGAAGGCUUACCUUUGCUUUCUUUUCGUUUUCGCAUUACAUCCAUCCCCUAGUUUUUAUUUUUCCGAGAUUGAGUGGUAUGGUCAAAUCCUACAUUAAACUACAAGCUUUUAUGCUUACUCUUCUUCAUUAAUGGUAAAGGAUGAUAUUUUACUUUUGUAUUAUUUACUGCUGGAUCUUUCGCUGCCCUCUAUUUUUUUUUAGUUAAAAUGUAAAUUUAUUACCAUAUUAAAAAUUGUGAUUAUAUUUUAUUUUAAUUGAUAUUUGUCAUUAUAAUUUGAGAAUAUGAUUAAAUUUGACCCACAAUUUGAUCAAAUUUCGCCAUUGAAUUUUAAUUUUUUAUUGAAUUUUAUUAUUAAUUUUUAAUUAAAUUUUAGAAAUUAAUAAGUUAUUAUUGGUUUUUAUGGUUUAAAAAUAAAAUAUUAUUUAAAUAUUUUAUUUUAACAAUAAGUUAAUUUAUAAAAUAAUAAAGGUUAAAAGAAUAACUAACAUUUUGUAGUUAAUGAUAGAAAGACUUGAAAAAAUAUAUUCAAUAAAUUAAGUUUACUUUUUAUAAAAUAAAAUUAUUUUUAUUAAUUUUUAAUGUUGUAUUAAUUAAUUUAUUGUUUGUAAGUAUUAAAUUAAAAUAUUGAAAUUUGUUUUCAUUAAAAUUAAGUAGUGAAGUUCAAUAAAGAAUCAAACUUUAACGACACAAUUCAAUCCCAAAGACCCUAACAAUUUAGGCCCAUACCCAAACAAUAUAUCUGGCGCAGAAGAAACUACUCCAAUCCCUCAUGUUAUGAUCAAGGCCCAAUCCUUCACCAGGAUCUUGUGCUGCUGUGUUAAGGGUUUCAAUGUUGGCAAAUUUAUUAGUUUUCCUGGAAUUUGAACCCGGUAACCAAUGGGUCUUUUUUUCUUUUCUUUUUUUUUUUUUUUUUGGCUAUUUUCUCCCAAGAGAAAAGAUAACCCUUACUUGUACACAGGAAUGUUAAUUGGCAUCUACCUUAUCUAGAAUCCUAAAAAGUAACAAGUGUUUACACCUGAACUGUAGUCACCUUCAUAUCAGGCAUCUUUUCUUUGCCAAGUUGAUAUGUACAUACAUAUAUGAUCAACAUGCAGUAAACCAAAAGGUUUGCAGGAUGUAGGAUAAUUAUCUAUAUAAGCAUAAGAAUCUGGCAUUAUUUUCACUUCAACUUUAUGUCGACAUAAAGGUGCCACCUUUCCCCAAAACAGAAUAACUCCACCGGUUAUUUAUAGGAAGGGAUGAGCAAGGGAGCCUAGGCAAAGGUAAGCUAAAUACCCAAGUAUCUAUAUAUUUAAAUAUAUAAAAUAAUAAGCACCAAUCUAUGGCUCAACUAGGGUCGUCUCUGUCAGCAGAAACCGAGACACUGAGCAAUGUCCUAAGCCUGGUGGAGGCCUUCAGAGCAUUUGAUUCAGACAACGAUGGCGCAAUCAAUGCUGCAGAGCUGGGGGGAAUCCUGAGUUCGCUGGGGUACAACGCUAGCGAGCAAGACGUGAGGGCCAUGAUGCGAGAAGGGGACGCCAACAAGGACGGAUUACUGAGCAUGGAAGAGUUCCUAGAGAUGAACACCAAGGACAUGGAGCUUGGGGAGCUUGCCAAUUUCCUCAGGACCGCUUUCCAAGCUUUUGAAGUCGAAGGGGAUGAUGCUUUGACUGCUGCCGACUUGUAUGAGGUUAUGGGGAACCUUGGCAUCGAUCAGCUUUCCUUGGAGGAUUGCCAGAGUGUUAUUGCCUCCAUGGAUGCUGAUGGUGAUGGAGCUGU
rnacentral:lncRNA from 1 species